rnacentral:rRNA from 1 species
GUGUCAGCAGCCGCGGUAAUACGUAGGGUGCGAGCGUUAAUCGGAAUUACUGGGCGUAAAGCGUGCGCAGGCGGUUCGUUAUGUCCGUUGUGAAAGCCCCGGGCUCAACCUGGGAAUGGCAAUGGAAACUGGCGAGCUAGAGUGUGGCAGAGGGGGGUGGAAUUCCGCGUGUAGCAGUGAAAUGCGUAGAGAUGCGGAGGAACACCGAUGGCGAAGGCAGCCCCCUGGGCUAGCACUGACGCUCAGGCACGAAAGCGUGGGGAGCAAACAGGAUUAGAUACCCUGGUAGUCC